GUGUGGCUGUGGCUGUGGUGUAGGCUGGCAGUUGUAGCUCCUAUCUGCCCCUUAGCCUGGAAACUUCCACAUGCCAUGGGCGUGGCCUUAAAAAAAGCAAAAAGAGAGAGAGAGAAGGAUCCUAAACUUUUGACAGGGUGCCUCCUGAGAGCUGAAGUCACCCCUGGCGCUGGCUUGGAGUCUGAAUGCAGAGAAAGAGGCCCCUGUCCUUCAGUCCUUCACCAGGUGGGCAGGCACCACUCCCUUUUGGAACCCCUCGACUCCUGCCUACGGGGACCUGGAUGCUGUCCCUGGGUCUCCAUCACCCUCCCUGCAUUAGGACUGUGGAGUGUUCCCGAUGUCAGAGGUGCUCACUCUGGGUAGCACAGUGGCGGCAUCAGUGCGGAAGGCACUCUGGUCCCUGCAAGAGCUCAGCCCCUCCUGGGUCUCUGGGAUGCUCUGAGAAACCAUUGGCCACGGCCCAUGCUCGCCUCACAGGGCACCUGGGCUCCUGGGCACAGCAGCGGUCCAAGAGGGCAGUGCACCCUCCAUACCUACCGGGGCAAGAAGUGCUUUUGUCAAAGGUAACAUCCCAGGCGGCUCUCCUGGUACGUCUCCUGGUAUGUUAGCCUUCAUCCAGCACAGAGAGCGGAUUUGGUUUCAUGAUGCAUCGUCCUUUCCUCGUCUCCUGGCUUCCAUGUCAUUCCCGGAGCUUAACUGUGCAGCACGAAUGGGACUCGGAGCUGUCUCUCCAAGCCCCGGGGUCACUUGGCCCUGAUCACUUGCACUGACUCGAUCAGAAUGGACAGGUUUGACUUUUCCUGGAAUUCCAUCGCAUUCUUGGCUGGUGGGAUGGUGGCCCUCUGGCGGAUGAACAGGAAUUGAAGGGGAGGCGGUGGGGGUGACGCUCCAGGGUAGAAAAGAAGGGCUCAGCCCGCCUGGCCCUUCCGGCCUUUCGCUGCUGAGUCACCCCGUCGUUUGCUACUGGCUGAAAAGUUCAUGCUUCUUGGACUCAAGUGAAAGGACUUACUUUUUAAGCAGGAUUGUUAAAUGAGCUGUUUGCACCUUCAUGCAAUUGGGACAAAAUUUUAAAACUUCAUCACUUGGAAACAUGGGGAAUUUUCUUCCUGAGAAACGGAUGCAUGGCUCUACCAAGGAUUACCUAAACCAAGAUGGAGCUGGUCUGGGUGCCCCCCUCACCCCUCUUGACGAAUCACUCAGUGGAAUGAAGGAGAAUCACACACAAGAGGAUCAGGAAGAUACAACACAGAUUUAGUAGGAACUUUGUGAGAGUGAAAAUGCAGAGAGGCUGACAGGCCAGGAGGGAAAACACAGUGUGAAAUAAAUAGCAAGCAAAAGA